GCAUUACCUUCAAUUUAUUUCAAAGAGGAGCCAAUUUAGGCCCCAGGCCAAGAGAAAGUUUCAGUUCACCGAUAACACCAAGAAGAGUAAAGAAUCUACUGAAAAGAAACCUUAAAACACAUUGCAUGGUACCAUUUAUUGGUAUUCAAUGAAUCCAGGGAGAGGCAGCCUAGCCUCUCAAUUAGUACAAUUCACCAUUAAUUGCAUUAAAACAUUUAAUUAACAAUAAGUUUACAGAGCUUUACAGAUUGGAGACUUUCCCAACCCAGAUCGUGGGAUGGCAUAAUCAAUGAUUGCUGUCAGAUCACCCAAAACCAAGCUACAAUUGAUCCAGCAGCCAGACCAACAACUAGGAACAAAACAAUUACAAUCCCAGCAGUCUCUGCAUGCUGUAUUGGGACAACUUUGGGAGCCAAAAUCAUUAGAACACUUGUCAAGUAGCCAUUAGUAAGACCCAAAAGACAAGUCAGGAUUGUUACUGGGAUCUCGGUUCGAAAGAAUUUAGGACCAUGCAAGCAGCCUAAGAACAAAGGGAAAAAGAGCAGUCUUGCAAAACAACCACCAAUGGCAAGUUUGGCAUUCUCCAUCAUAUAGACUGCAGUCAAAGACUUGCCAACCAGAUCAAACACAUUGUAGCCGGUAAUGAGAAGGAUUGCAUACCAGUCCUUGAGAGUCUCAGAGUGCACAUCCUCUGUUAUAUAGCCCGGAAAUAUCGACAACGUCACAAUAUAAAUGAGCAGGAUCCCAAUCCCAUACCAUUUGACACUCCCAAUAAUCUCCAACAAGGUUGAUCUCCACUGAGCCCCAGUUAGGGACCGCUUCUUCUUUUCCUCAUUCACAGCCUGAAUUUUCAAAUCUGUAUAGUACUUGAUCACAGGAAGGUGAUGCGCCACAUUGUAAAACAGAAUACAUAUGGCCAUAACCACAAUCCCAACAGCGAAAUAGAGAUUUGCACUUUUUCUGAGGCCAUGUUCAUCUUGUGUAUAUACAGAUUUGGUUAUGAUCCUUAGAAAUGAAACCAGGACUCCAGAACCAGCAGUACCAGCAACAACAGCCUGCAUAUACCUCUCAGGCAACCCUCCAGCAGCCCCAAUAAGCCCACCUUGGACCAACGCAUCAGCCAUGCCGGAAAGCGCAAUCGCCACGACCGUCACAUCAAACCCAUCACUCAACCCGACCCGACCCUUUAUAUAAACCGCAUCCAUAAUCGGGACAACCAACAGAGAAACGACGAAGAGGGCCAGGCCCGCAUUUAUCCUAACAUAAGCAUCGGCUACAUGGGCGUAAAAGACGAUCACCAAAAGGCAGCAGAGUCCCACCACCAUGUAAGCCACGGCGAAUAUGCGGUCAACUGAAACCCCGGGAUAGAUGUAGGAGAAGUAAUCGACAGCGGUGAUGAAGGCAUUCCACGGGAGAAGAAAGCCAAGGCCGAGUGUAAAGUAGAUUAUGUAGGCCAAGUGGAAAGUGUCUUUUGGGACAUUUUGAGAGAUGGCCGGACUUGAAGCGGAAGCGGAGGCGGCGUCGGGUAGCAAUAGGGAGGAUUCGGAGUCGGGGUCAUUGUCGGUGGGUCCGCCAGCAAGACCCAUGAGAGAGUUAGAAGGCGGAGUGGGUCUGGAUUCGAGCUUGGGUUUUGGGUGGUUGACCGGUGAUCGUAAGAACUUUUUCUUGAUGGAGGGAGCGGACUGGUAUUUGGCCGGUGGCGGAGCUGUGGUCAGAUUUUGAUUAGGUAAGAAACGACAGCGUGUCCAUGCUUGUCACAUACGAAACCUUUCAAGACCCCAACUAUCUUUUUU
rnacentral:misc_RNA from 1 species